rnacentral:rRNA from 1 species
GUGCCAGCAGCCGCGGUAAUACGAAGGGGGCUAGCGUUGUUCGGAAUCACUGGGCGUAAAGGGCGCGUAGGCGGGCUCUUAAGUCGAGGGUGAAAUCCUGUGGCUCAACCACAGAACGGCCUUCGAUACUGAGAGCCUCGAGUUCGAGAGAGGUUGGUGGAACUGCGAGUGUAGAGGUGAAAUUCGUAGAUAUUCGCAAGAACACCAGUGGCGAAGGCGGCCAACUGGCUCGAUACUGACGCUGAGGCGCGAAAGCGUGGGGAGCAAACAGGAUUAGAAACCCUGGUAGUCC